GACGAACGCUGGCGGCGUGCUUAACACAUGCAAGUCGAGCGGAAAGGCCCUUUCGGGGGUACUCGAGCGGCGAACGGGUGAGUAACACGUGAGUAAUCUGCCCCUGGCUUUGGGAUAGCCACCGGAAACGGUGAUUAAUACCGGAUACGACCACUUCUCGCAUGGGAUGGUGGUGGAAAGUUUUUCGGCCAGGGAUGUGCUCGCGGCCUAUCAGCUUGAUGGUGAGGUAAUGGCUCACCAUGGCUUCGACGGGUAGCCGGCCUGAGAGGGUGACCGGUCACACUGGGAAUGAGACACGGCCCAGACUCCUACGGGAGGCAGCAGUGGGGAAUAUUGGACAAUGGGCGGAAGCCUGAUCUAGCAACGCCGCGUGGGGGAUGACGGCCUUCGGGUUGUAAACCUCUUUCAGCAGGGACGAAGCGCAAGUGACGGUACCUGCAGAAGAAGCACCGGCCAACUACGUGCCAGCAGCCGCCGCCG
rnacentral:rRNA from 1 species